rnacentral:rRNA from 1 species
UAGGGAAUCUUCCACAAUGGGCGAAAGCCUGAUGGAGCAACGCCGCGUGUGUGAUGAAGGGUUUCGGCUCGUAAAACACUGUUGUAAGAGAAGAAUGACAUUGAGAGUAACUGUUCAAUGUGUGACGGUAUCUUACCAGAAAGGAACGGCUAAAUGCGUGCCAC